rnacentral:rRNA from 1 species
AUAGAACGCUGGCGGCAUGCCUUACACAUGCAAGUCGAACGGUAACAGGUCUUCGGAUGCUGACGAGUGGCGAACGGGUGAGUAAUACAUCGGAACGUGCCCGAUCGUGGGGGAUAACGGAGCGAAAGCUUUGCUAAUACCGCAUACGAUCUACGGAUGAAAGCAGGGGACCGCAAGGCCUUGCGCGGACGGAGCGGCCGAUGGCAGAUUAGGUAGUUGGUGGGAUAAAAGCUUACCAAGCCGACGAUCUGUAGCUGGUCUGAGAGGACGACCAGCCACACUGGGACUGAGACACGGCCCAGACUCCUACGGGAGGCAGCAGUGGGGAAUUUUGGACAAUGGGCGAAAGCCUGAUCCAGCCAUGCCGCGUGCAGGAUGAAGGCCUUCGGGUUGUAAACUGCUUUUGUACGGAACGAAAAGACCCCUUCUAAUAAAGGGGGUCCAUGACGGUACCGUAAGAAUAAGCACCGGCUAACUACGUGCCAGCAGCCGCGGUAAUACGUAGGGUGCAAGCGUUAAUCGGAAUUACUGGGCGUAAAGCGUGCGCAGGCGGUUAUAUAAGACAGAUGUGAAAUCCCCGGGCUCAACCUGGGAACUGCAUUUGUGACUGUAUAGCUAGAGUACGGCAGAGGGGGAUGGAAUUCCGCGUGUAGCAGUGAAAUGCGUAGAUAUGCGGAGGAACACCGAUGGCGAAGGCAAUCCCCUGGGCCUGUACUGACGCUCAUGCACGAAAGCGUGGGGAGCAAACA